rnacentral:tRNA from 1 species
AAAAAAAGCUUCUAACUUUUUAAAAAGCAAUAAUAUGUUUAU